rnacentral:rRNA from 1 species
UUAUGACGUACUUGUACUGAUUGAGAUUUUAACACGAAGUGAGUGGCGAACGGGUGAGUAACACGUGGGUAACCUGCCCAGAAGUAGGGGAUAACACCUGGAAACAGAUGCUAAUACCGUAUAACAGAGAAAACCGCAUGGUUUUCUUUUAAAAGAUGGCUCUGCUAUCACUUCUGGAUGGACCCGCGGCGUAUUAGCUAGUUGGUGAGGUAAAGGCUCACCAAGGCAGUGAUACGUAGCCGACCUGAGAGGGUAAUCGGCCACAUUGGGACUGAGACACGGCCCAGACUCCUACGGGAGGCAGCAGUAGGGAAUCUUCCACAAUGGACGCAAGUCUGAUGGAGCAACGCCGCGUGAGUGAAGAAGGGUUUCGGCUCGUAAAGCUCUGUUGUUAAAGAAGAACGUGGGUAAGAGUAACUGUUUACCCAGUGACGGUAUUUAACCAGAAAGCCACGGCUAACUACGUGCCAGCAGCCGCGGUAAUACGUAGGUGGCAAGCGUUAUCCGGAUUUAUUGGGCGUAAAGCGAGCGCAGGCGGUCUUUUAAGUCUAAUGUGAAAGCCUUCGGCUCAACCGAAGAAGUGCAUUGGAAACUGGGAGACUUGAGUGCAGAAGAGGACAGUGGAACUCCAUGU